AUUUAGUCCUGAUGAGAGGAUAGUGAGAAUGACUGUCAGCACCUGUAGUAGCCACCUGAUUUUUAACUUGUUAUGGUCAGGAAGAAGCAAGGAGGGGAUGGGGGAAAGUAGUACUCAGGGAGUGUGCUGGUUGUACAUGUUUCCUGUGCCAGAGACUGAGAUAGAAAAGUGGUGAUGUGCAGAGCCUCCUGAUUUAGAGGCCGUUCCCUGAAGAUCUUGAGUCACAAUUGUCUAGGGAUGCAGAUGAACGGCCACGUGCCAUGGGCAAGAUGCUGGAGAAGCCCUCAUCCCACAUGCCCUGCUUCCUUGGUGUGGUGUUUUGGGACCACAGGAGAUCCUGGAGCUCUGUCCCUGCCUGGUUCUGCUGAGGAGCCAGUUGUGCACUGCAAGACCUAGAUCUGCUGCCAUCUGGUUGGAUGCAUCCGCACUAAUAAUAGCCUGGCAGAAAAUUCAAUUAGUCUCGAGCAAAUGCCUUCCUAAAGGACACAGAAAACGAAAAUAAAGAGGAGAAAUCUGCUUUCA
rnacentral:lncRNA from 1 species